ACGAGGGUGGACAGGUGGUGGCAUGGUUGUCGUCAGCUCGUGUCGUGAGAUGUUGGUUAAGUCCCGCAACGAGCGCAACCCUCGCCUCUAGUUGCCAGCAUUCGGUUGGGCACUCUAGAGGGACUGCCGGCGACAAGUCGGAGGAAGGUGGGGAUGACGUCAAAUCAUCAUGCCCCUUAUGACCUGGGCUACACACGUGCUACAAUGGGCGGUACAAAGGGCUGCGAACCCGCGAGGGGGAGCGAAUCCCAAAAAGCCGCUCUCAGUUCGGAUUGCAGGCUGCAACUCGCCUGCAUGAAGCCGGAAUCGCUAGUAAUCGCGGAUCAGCAUGCCGCGGUGAAUACGUUCCCGGGCCUU
rnacentral:rRNA from 1 species